rnacentral:rRNA from 1 species
ACGAGUACGGUGGCGUAGGCGUGGGAGAACGUAGGGGGCGAGCGUUGUACGGAUUUAUUGGGCGUAAAGAGCGUGUAGGCGGCCAUGCAGGGUAGCUGUGAAAACUCGAUGGCUCAACCUCGAGAUGUCGGUUGAAACCGUGUGGCUAGAGUCCGGAAGAGGAGAGGGGAAUUCCCGGUGUAGCGGUGAAAUGCGCAGAUAUCGGGAAGAACACCCGUGGCGAAGGCGGCUCUCUGGGACGGUACUGACGCUGAGACGCGAAAGCGUGGGGAGCGAACAGGAUUAGAUACCCUAGUAGUC